GGCUCUGUGCUGUGUGUCCUAGGGGCGAUCCAAUCUCCGCCAAUCUGCCUCGCUGCCCCGGAAGUCCACGGUUCCCUGGCAGCGCCACGCUGAGGAAGCAGCCAAGGCACAGACUGAGCUGUACGCCAUGCGGCCGCUGGAGAAGCAUGGGAAGCAAAUUGAGGAGCUGAGGAAGGAGUUGGCAGAGUCCAGGGAGAAGCAGAGGCUCUUUGAGAGCCAGCUGGAAAUGCUGGUCACCCAGAACCAGACACUGCUGGAGGAGCAGGCCAAAAGCCAGGGGCAGGAGGAGAGACUCCGGAGGCAGCUGGAGAAGCUGGAAACCCACCUGGCAAACCUCAGCACCAGGGUGGCGGCGGCAGAGGGCAGCCGGAGGAAGGACCAGGAGAAGCUGAGGGCCAGCGAGGAGAGGACGAAGCGUCUGGAGCGCCGCCUGUCGGCCCUGGAGCGGGAACACGCCGAGCUGCUCUGUGCCAUCAGUCAGCGGCCGGGAUUCCAGGACAAGCCACCCAACUCGCUGCUGAUGCCAGCGCCACAGGACGGGGCCGAGGACUGGCAGGAGGUUUAGCCAGCUUGGUGGGCCCAGACGGCCAGCCCCUGGGCCCUGCGUAGGACGCAUCCCACCCCAGCAGCUGCCACCCGCUUUGGAUACCCUGCCAGCCAGACCUUGUCUCUAGAAAUUUGUCACAGACCCAAGCCCAGCAGCUCUUUCCUGGUAUGAGUCCAGCCUGGGAGGUCCUGAGUCUGCCAGGGAUGUUGUUCCAGAUAAUGGAGUCCCAGAGAGCUGCAGGCUGCUGCUGUGAAUCCCCUGCAGCUCUCCACUCCCCAGGAGUGGUGGAGAGCGAUCAGAUUUGUGAGAGGCCCAUUCAGCCCCUCUCUCAUCCCAACUGGGGUUCCCUUCCCUAUUCCUGCAUCCAAAGGGUCCCCAGGUGCUUCCUUCUGAACUCCUCCCACACACUCCCGAUGCCUUGCUGCCCCCUUCGUCAUACCCAUGCUGCCAUCCCCAUAGUGGAACAUUGCCCCAACAUGCCCAAGCUUCCCUGGGGCUCUGGCUGCUGCAUAGCACCAGUUGCCCAGGGCCACUGCCCAGUAACUGCCAACAGGCCCAGCCCUGCGCCAGGGGCUGACUAGAAGGGAUGCGCCCGGACCAGUAUUCAGGCCUCAUUUGGCUCUUGGGGGAUUCAGGGAUGAGCUGCCACAGUGAGCUUGUCUCCGGGUUCGUGCUUGGGCCAU
rnacentral:lncRNA from 1 species